rnacentral:lncRNA from 1 species
AUGCUCAAGUCUCAGGCUCUCAGCUCAAUAAUUCACCUGCCAAGCAUCAACAUUUAAGCUAAUGACUUCAUAAUGGAGUCUCCGAUUGGGCUGAGCUUCUGGGCAACGAUGCAAAGAUAACGCGGAAAAGGACUAACAGGUCCUACACAUUGUCACAGUCGACCCUACAGGAACAAGGAAAAAUAAUUGAUGAGUUGCCCUGACGAUUGAAACCCG